AAUGGGUCAGCGACUUAUAUUCUGUAGCAAGGUUAACCGAAUAGGGGAGCCGAAGGGAAACCGAGUCUUAACUGGGCGUUAAGUUGCAGGGUAUAGACCCGAAACCCGGUGAUCUAGCCAUGGGCAGGUUGAAGGUUGGGUAACACUAACUGGAGGACCGAACCGACUAAUGUUGAAAAAUUAGCGGAUGACUUGUGGCUGGGGGUGAAAGGCCAAUCAAACCGGGAGAUAGCUGGUUCUCCCCGAAAGCUAUUUAGGUAGCGCCUCGUGAAUUCAUCUCCGGGGGUAGAGCACUGUUUCGGCAAGGGGGUCAUCCCGACUUACCAACCCGAUGCAAACUGCGAAUACCGGAGAAUGUUAUCACGGGAGACACACGGCGGGUGCUAACGUCCGUCGUGAAGAGGGAAACAACCCAGACCGCCAGCUAAGGUCCCAAAGUCAUGGUUAAGUGGGAAACGAUGUGGGAAGGCCCAGACAGCCAGGAUGUUGGCUUAGAAGCAGCCAUCAUUUAAAGAAAGCGUAAUAGCUCACUGGUCGAGUCGGCCUGCGCGGAAGAUGUAACGGGGCUAAACCAUGCACCGAAGCUGCGGCAGCGACGCUUAUGCGUUGUUGGGUAGGGGAGCGUUCUGUAAGCCUGCGAAGGUGUGCUGUGAGGCAUGCUGGAGGUAUCAGAAGUGCGAAUGCUGACAUAAGUAACGAUAAAGCGGGUGAAAAGCCCGCUCGCCGGAAGACCAAGGGUUCCUGUCCAACGUUAAUCGGGGCAGGGUGAGUCGACCCCUAAGGCGAGGCCGAAAGGCGUAGUCGAUGGGAAACAGGUUAAUAUUCCUGUACUUGGUGUUACUGCGAAGGGGGGACGGAGAAGGCUAUGUUGGCCGGGCGACGGUUGUCCCGGUUUAAGCGUGUAGGCUGGUUUUCCAGGCAAAUCCGGAAAAUCAAGGCUGAGGCGUGAUGACGAGGCACUACGGUGCUGAAGCAACAAAUGCCCUGCUUCCAGGAAAAGCCUCUAAGCAUCAGGUAACAUCAAAUCGUACCCCAAACCGACACAGGUGGUCAGGUAGAGAAUACCAAGGCGCUUGAGAGAACUCGGGUGAAGGAACUAGGCAAAAUGGUGCCGUAACUUCGGGAGAAGGCACGCUGAUAUGUAGGUGAAGUCCCUCGCGGAUGGAGCUGAAAUCAGUCGAAGAUACCAGCUGGCUGCAACUGUUUAUUAAAAACACAGCACUGUGCAAACACGAAAGUGGACGUAUACGGUGUGACGCCUGCCCGGUGCCGGAAGGUUAAUUGAUGGGGUCAGCGCAAGCGAAGCUCUUGAUCGAAGCCCCGGUAAACGGCGGCCGUAACUAUAACGGUCCUAAGGUAGCGAAAUUCCUUGUCGGGUAAGUUCCGACCUGCACGAAUGGCGUAAUGAUGGCCAGGCUGUCUCCACCCGAGACUCAGUGAAAUUGAACUCGCUGUGAAGAUGCAGUGUACCCGCGGCAAGACGGAAAGACCCCGUGAACCUUUACUAUAGCUUGACACUGAACAUUGAGCCUUGAUGUGUAGGAUAGGUGGGAGGCUUUGAAGUGUGGACGCCAGUCUGCAUGGAGCCG
rnacentral:rRNA from 1 species